rnacentral:rRNA from 1 species
UGGGGAAUUUUCCGCAAUGGGCGAAAGCCUGACGGAGCAAUACCGCGUGAGGGAGGAAGGCUCUUGGGUUGUAAACCUCAAAACUUAGGGAAGAAAAAAAUGACGGUACCUAAUGUAAACAUCGGCUAACUCCGUGCCAGCAGCCGCGGUAAUACGGAGGAUGCAAGCGUUAUCCGGAAUCAUUGGGCGUAAAGAGUCCGUAGGUGGCACUUCAAGUCUGCUUUCAAAGACCGAAGCUCAACUUCGGAAAGGGAGUGGAAACUGAAGAGCUAGAGUAUAGUAGGGGUAGAGGGAAUUCCUAGUGUAGCGGUGAAAUGCGUAGAGAUUAGGAAGAACACCAGUGGCGAAGGCGCUCUACUGGGCAUAUACUGACACUGAGGGACGAAAGCUAGGGGAGCGAAAGGGAUUAGAUACCCCUGUAGU